AGAGUUUGAUCCUGGCUCAGAAUCAACGCUGGCGGCGUGCCUAACACAUGCAAGUCGAACGAGAAAGUGGAGCAAUCCAUGAGUAAAGUGGCGACCGGGUGAGUAACACGUGACUAACCUACCCUCGAGUGCGGAAUAACAUCGGGAAACCGAUGCUAAUACCACAUAACAUCGCAAGAUCAAAGGAGCAAUCCGCUUGAGGAGGGGGUCGCGGCUGAUUAGCUAGUUGGCGGGGUAACGGCCCACCAAGGCGAAGAUCGGUAGCCGGCCUGAGAGGGCGCACGGCCACACUGGAACUGAAACACGGUCCAGACUCCUACGGGAGGCAGCAGUGGGGAAUUUUGCGCAAUGGGGGAAACCCUGACGCAGCAACGCCGCGUGGAGGAUGAAGCCCUUUGGGGCG
rnacentral:rRNA from 1 species